UACGAGAGGCCCAAACGUUACUCGGAAUUACUGGGCUUAAAGAGUUCGUAGGCGGCGCAGAAAGUAGGGUGUGAAAGCCCUCGGCUUAACCGAGGAAUUGCGCUCUAAACUACUGUGCUUGAGGAACCUAGAGGUGAGCAGAACUGAUGGUGGAGCGGUGAAAUGCGUUGAUAUCAUCAGGAAUACCGGAGGCGAAGGCGGCUCACUGGGGGUUUUCUGACGCUGAGGAACGAAAGCCAGGGGAGCGAACGGG
rnacentral:rRNA from 1 species